GACGAACGCUGGCGGUGUGCUUAACACAUGCAAGUCGAACGGUGAAGCGCCUUCCUUUUCGGUGGGUGAGGAUGAGUGGCGAACGGGUGCGUAACACGUGAGUACACUGCCCCCUUCUUCCGGAUAACCGCAUGAAAGUGUGGCUAAUACGGGAUAUUACGGGUCUGUCGCAUGAUGGGUCAGGGAAAGAUAUUGUUUCGGAGGGGGAUGGGCACGCGGCCUAUCAGCAUGUUGCCGGGGUGAGGGCCUACCGAGGCGAUGGCGGGUAGCAGGCCCGGGAGGGGUGAGGGGCCGACUGGGGCUGAGACACGGCCCCGUCGCCUACGGGACACAGCAGAGGGUCAUAUUGCACACUGGGCGCGAGCAUGAUGCAGCGUCGCCGCGUGAGUGAUGGAGGCCUGCGGGUUGUGAGCCUCAUUCGCCAGGUAAGCAGGCCUGCCUCGUUUGUGAAGGUGUUGACGGUACCUGAAUAAGAAGCGCCGGCUAACUACGUG
rnacentral:rRNA from 1 species